rnacentral:rRNA from 1 species
AUGAACGCUGGCGGCGUGCCUAAUCCAUGCAAGUCGAGCGAACGGACGAGAAGCUUGCUUUUCUGAUGUUAGCGGCGGACGGGUGAGUAACACGUGGAUAACCUACCUAUAAGACUGGGAUAACUUCGGGAAACCGGAGCUAAUACCGGAUAAUAUUUUGAACCGCAUGGUUCAAAAGUGAAAGACGGUCUUGCUGUCACUUAUAGAUGGAUCCGCGCUGCAUUAGCUAGUUGGUAAGGUAACGGCUUACCAAGGCAACGAUGCAUAGCCGACCUGAGAGGGUGAUCGGCCACACUGGAACUGAGCCACGGUCCAGACUCCUACGGGAGGCAGCAGUAGGGAAUCUUCCGCAAUGGGCGAAAGCCUGACGGAGCAACGCCGCGUGAGUGAUGAAGGUCUUCGGAUCGUAAAACUCUGUUAUUAGGGAAGAACAUAUGUGUAAGUAACUGUGCACAUCUUGACGGUACCUAAUCAGAAAGCCACGGCUAACUACGUG